rnacentral:rRNA from 1 species
UACGUAGGGCGCAAGCGUUGUCCGGAAUUAUUGGGCGUAAAGAGCUCGUAGGCGGCUUGUCACGUCGGGUGUGAAAGCCCGGGGCUUAACCCCGGGUCUGCAUUCGAUACGGGCAGGCUAGAGUGUGGUAGGGGAGAUCGGAAUUCCUGGUGUAGCGGUGAAAUGCGCAGAUAUCUGGAGGAACACCGGUGGCGAAGGCGGCAUCCUGGACCGGCAUUGACGCUGAGGAGCGAAAGCCAGGGGAGCAAACGGG